GACGAACGCUGGCGGCGUGCUUAACACAUGCAAGUCGAACGGAAAGGCCAUGCUUUUGUGGGGUGCUCGAGUGGCGAACGGGUGAGUAACACGUGAGUAACCUGCCCUUGACUUUGGGAUAACUUCAGGAAACUGGGGCUAAUACAGGAUAGGAGCUCCUGCUGCAUGGUGGGGGUUGGAAAGUUUCGGCGGUUGGGGAUGGACUCGCGGCUUAUCAGCUUGUUGUUGGGGUAGUGGCUUACCAAGGCUUUGACGGGUAGCCGGCCUGAGAGGGUGACCGGCCACAUUGGGACUGAGAUACGGCCCAGACUCCUACGGGAGGCAGCAGUGGGGAAUAUUGCACAAUGGGCGGAAGCCUGAUGCAGCAACGCCGCGUGCGGGAUGACGGCCUUCUGGUUGUAAACCGCUUUCGCCUGUGACGAAGCGUGAGUGACGGUAAUGGGUAAAGAAGCACCGGCUAACUACGUG
rnacentral:rRNA from 1 species